rnacentral:lncRNA from 1 species
AAAUUAUAUUUUUGUUUGGGUUGAUAAAAUAGUGACUAGGAUUUAGAUUCUGUAAAUAAACGAAAUUAUAUUUCGGUUUGGAUUUAUAAAAGAGUGGUUAAAGUUGAUUUUAUUUUUUAUUUAUUUUUUAGUUAUAAUAUGAUGUGAUAUAUUGUUUUAUUUUGAUUGGUUAAUCAAUAAUGGGUGAGUAAGAGUAGUUUACCUCUGGACAAGUAUUGCUCAUUAAUGUUUUUUAAAAAAUU